GUUGCAAUGCCAGUACUGAGACACCAGGUAGGGGGUUUUACCCUGCAUUGGGUGUUACUGAGGUAAAUUCUACUUCUUUUAAAUCUACCUGA
rfam:Loxodonta africana unplaced genomic scaffold scaffold_118, whole genome shotgun sequence.